UCCCCUGUGGUGUAAUGGGUAGCACAGCGGCCUUUGGAGCCGUUUGUCAAGGUUCGAGUCCUUGCAGGGGAG
rnacentral:tRNA from 1 species